rnacentral:rRNA from 1 species
AUGCAGUCGAGGGGUAUUGGUUUUCGGACCAAGAGACCGGCGCACGGGUGCGUAACGCGUAUGCAAUCUACCUUUUACAGAGGGAUAGCCCAGAGAAAUUUGGAUUAAUACCUCAUAGUAUUAUUGAAUGGCAUCAUUUAAUAAUUAAAGUCACAACGGUAAAAGAUGAGCAUGCGUCCCAUUAGCUUGUUGGUAAGGUAACGGCUUACCAAGGCAACGAUGGGUAGGGGUCCUGAGAGGGAGAUCCCCCACACUGGUACUGAGACACGGACCAGACUCCUACGGGAGGCAGCAGUGAGGAAUAUUGGUCAAUGGGCGCAAGCCUGAACCAGCCAUGCCGCGUGCAGGAUGACGGUCCUAUGGAUUGUAAACUGCUUUUGUACAGGAAGAAACAGUUCUACGUGUAGAACCUUGACGGUACUGUAAGAAUAAGGAUCGGCUAACUCCGUGCCAGCAGCCGCGGUAAUACGGAGGAUCCAAGCGUUAUCCGGAAUCAUUGGGUUUAAAGGGUCCGUAGGCGGUUUUGUAAGUCAGUGGUGAAAGCCCAUCGCUCAACGGUGGAACGGCCAUUGAUACUGCAAGACUUGAAUUAUUAGGAAGUAACUAGAAUAUGUAGUGUAGCGGUGAAAUGCUUAGAUAUUACAUGGAAUACCAAUUGCGAAGGCAGGUUACUACUAAUUGAUUGACGCUGAUGGACGAAAGCGUGNGGAGCGAACAGGAUUAGAUACCCUGGUAGUCCACGCCGUAAACGAUGGAUACUAGCUGUUCGGAGCAAUCUGAGUG